rnacentral:lncRNA from 1 species
AAAAACACAAUGACUCAUUACUCCUCUUUGUUACUAUUAGGCAUCAGAGAUACAUGUUUUGUUGACUUUACUUAUAAAAAUGAGAUAAACUUGAAUAUGAAUACAUUGGCUUCCUUGUUCCAGGAGCUACCUCUUGGGUGAAAUAGCUAUUUCAUGAAACUUCUUUAGAGACUAACAUGAUACUCCCAAGAAGUAUCAUGUUUUAGAAACAAAAAUUAUGUUGAAUUCUAAUUAACUCCUAAAAUGGUCAUUUUCAAUGAAUAUUGCAGUGAUUUCUGAAUGAAAAACUGCUCAAUAUCUAACGCUUGCUGCAGGUUUACUUUGUAGAAGUAUGUCAAAAUUGAUAAUUGAUGAUAUUUUUAUUGAGGCUAAUAUAUUAUCCUUUGGUGCCAUGAGUGGAUGAAGAAACUUUUGGAAGGCUAAACUAGUGGAUACAAGAAACUUAAGCAAAUUUUUAUACCACAUGGGUGUGAGAGAUAAUGAAUAUUAUCUACUAGGUAUCAGCAAACAGGUGUCCAAUGUGAUCAAUUCAGGACUCUUCCACUGAAGAGAUGUGAAGUGUAAGUUUAACUGAAGUAUCAUUGCAAUUGUGUGCCUUCUCAGUUAUUGGCAAUUUAAAGAGCAUGAUGAAUGUUUUUAGUAUAAUGGUGUAAAUCCUUUUGAUUUGUUGCAUGAAAGAAAUAUGGGAUCAUGUAGCACCUGCUUUGACAUUGAUUCUCAGGUGUGUGAGUUGCUCCUCUGAUUUUAGAUCACAUUUGUUCUCAUCACUCGGCCUAUGCACAUUGAGAUUGACACGGUUUUAGUUUAUUUUUGACAUAUGAGAAAUCGUACCAUGUUUGAAAUUGCAAGGGCAUAUUUCAUGGAGCCUGUAUUCCCUUUUCUCAGUGUAUUUCUGUCAUGUUCUAGUCCCCAGACACAAAGUAGAAGCCAUCAAAGCCUGCGCUAAUACACGCAGGAGGACAGAGUAUGAUGCUAACUCUGCAUGAAUGUAUGGAUAUCUUUGUCAUAUUUACAUAUGAGUGAUUAUGAAUCCCUUUUGCUUUUCAGUGUCUUCUCAGAAACCACCAGCCUUGAAGGCUACAGGUGACGAGGAAGAUUCUGUUUUGAAUAUAGC